rnacentral:rRNA from 1 species
CCUACGGGGGGCUGCAGUCGAGGAUCUUCGGCAAUGGGGGCAACCCUGACCGAGCGACGCCGCGUGGGCGACGAAGGCCUUCGGGUUGUAAAGCCCUGUCGAGGGGGAGGAAGCCGGCAACGGGUGACCUAUCCCUGGAGGAAGCACGGGCUAAGUUCGUGCCAGCAGCCGCGGUAAGACGAACCGUGCGAACGUUGUUCGGAAUCACUGGGCUUAAAGGGCGCGUAGGCGGCCUGCCGCGUCCGGGGUGAAAGCCCCCCGCUCAACGGGGGAAC